CUUACUACCAUGCAACAAGUCACCUAAGCUCCCAUUUGGCAUAUACUCGUAAACCAGAAGCUUGCAGUCCCCAGUAUUGCAGCAACACCAUAAUCUCACAAUAUUCUUGUGCCUGAUCCUUCCCAAAGUUUCGACCUCUACUUCGAAUUCGUCUUUGUCGUAAUUGGCACUAGCAUCCUCUUGCUUGCUCUCUCCCCUUAGUUUCUUUACCGCUACUGUCUCACCAUUACUAAGCACAACCUUGUAUACUUUCCCAGAAGCUCCAGUUCCAAUCACAUUAUCUUCCUUAAGGCAAUCAGUAAUCUCAAAUUCACUAAAACCAAGCUUAUGGAAAGACCUCCACUUGGAUAUUGUAAUCCCUUUCUUACCUUUGUUGAAAUUCCGGUACUUGAAGUAGAACCAAACAACGCCAACAACAAAAACUAAACCAGCAAGUAUGAAAAUCGACCUAAGAAGCCAUAAGUAGCGCAGCUUCCCGGACUCACCCAUCUUCGGACAAAGACCCUCCAAGCCAUUGCACAAUCCUGGAUUCCCCCCGAAGCUCUUCUUAUAGAUCUCCCUGGCAAAAAGAGGGGGUAACUCUCCCGAAAGCAUAUUAUUUGAUAAGUUUAACAAAUUGAGCUUCAGUUUCUGCAAGGCCGGUGGGAUUUUCCCAGAAAAGUAAUUCCCAGAAAGAUCAAGGUAAUUAAGUACUGGCAAGUUCCCAAUUUCAUCUGGGAUGGGACCAGAUAGCUUAUUGUUCGCCAAAUUAAGCUCGUUUAAACUCUUCCAACCUUGAAUUCCCGUGGGGAACUCACCAGAUAAUUCAUUACCAUUAAGGACAAGACUACUUAACACAUUCAAAUUUACCAGGCUUCCUGGAAUUGGACCCGUAAACAAAUUAUUACUUGCAGAAAAUUCAACUAAAUUGCCAAGAAAACCAAUCUCCAUAGGUAUGUUCCCAGAAAGCUUGUUGUCUGAGAUCAGCAAAACAGAGAGAUUAUAAGCAGAAGAUAUUCUCCUGGAAACUUGCCCAGAUAACGAGUUCCCUACAAGCUCGACCAAAUAUACCCUUGGAAGUCCCCAAAACUCUUCUGGAACUGUCCCAGAAAGUUGAUUGUUCCUUAACCGAGCACGGCCUAAACUGUGGCAUUUCCCUAGACUUUCUGGGAUUUUCCCGGAAAAUGAAUUGUAUAUCAAAAUGAUGUCUUCUAAUUCUCCCUUUGCACACAAGUUAUUCGGUAUUUCACCAGAAAAUCCAUUGUAUGACACAUCAAGCGAUUUCAACAGAGAGUUCUGGCCGAGUUCACUCGGUAAUUGACCUGUUAGCUUGUUAUUGAACAAUUUGAGCUCGUAUAAAUUGGGAGACUUGGCUAUACUGUCUGGUAAAGUGCCUUCGAGACUGUUCUCGAACAAAUUCAGUGACUCGAGCUCCAACUGGCACAACUCAUUUGGAAUCGUCCCAGUUAACUCAUUCAUCGAAGCAUCAAAUCUUCUCAGCUUCGUCAAGUUUGAAAACCCUAUUGGUAGCAUGCCUGAUAAUGAGUUGUUGUAGAGCUCAAUUUGGACUACACUCUUGAGCUUGGUGAGCAAAGUUGGUAUUGACCCAGUGAGGCUAUUCUGAGACAAAUCCAAGUUUUCCAACCGAGUUAAAUGGCCCAGAAUUGCUGGAAUGGGACCAAUAAGCUUACAGUCAGCGAGCCAGAGCGCUUUAAGAUUCGUUAAGUUGGCGAGUCGAAUCGGCAAUGGACUCGGUGUGAAGGGGUUAUAAGCGAUUAAGAGAUUUUCCAGAGUCGAGAUGUUACUGAGCUCACUGGGUAUAGUUCCAUUAAGGAAAUUUCCGGCGAGCAAUAGCGUCUUAAGCCGCCGGAACUCCCCAAAUUUCACCGGAAUCUCACCAGUUAAAUUGUUUCCCGCCAAGCUCAGGUACCGGAGAUUCGGCAAGUCAGCGAGAGAUUCCGAGAUGGAGCCCACUAAAAGAUUCUGGCCCAAGUCCAAGUACUCGAGAUUCCUACACGGGGAGAAAUCAACGGGCAGGGACGAGUUGAUAGAAUUGUUGUAAAGAGAGAUGAAGGUGACAGAAGGGAGGCGGCAAAGGAAGGUGGGAAAAGGACCGGAGAGAAAUGAGUCAGAAAGGUCGACAGAGUCGACUCGGCGAGUUUCCUUGUCGCAUGUGAUGCCGACCCAGUUACAUGGAGUUUCGUCUCGUUCGUUCCAGUUAGAGAGCGCGCGAGUUGGAUCGAAGAGUCCGAGUUUGACUCGCUGGAGGAAAAGACCUUCUUGGUUGAGGGAAAGUGCAGAGAGAGGAAAGGAAAGAAAGAGAAGGGAAAGAAAGAGCAGCAUUUGAAAUUUGAACUGAGCAGAAGGGAAAGAAACAGAAGAGCUUGGAGAGAAGGGGAAGGAAAAAUGUGUGU
rnacentral:misc_RNA from 1 species